AUAACCUACGGGACGCAGCAGUGGGGAAUAUUGGGCAAUGGGCGCAAGCCUGACCCAGCAACGCCGCGUGAAGGAAGAAGGCUUUCGGGUUGUAAACUUCUUUUAUCAGGGACGAAGCAAGUGACGGUACCUGAUGAAUAAGCCACGGCUAACUACGUGCCAGCAGCCGCGGUAAUACGUAGGUGGCAAGCGUUAUCCGGAUUUACUGGGUGUAAAGGGCGUGUAGGCGGGAGUGCAAGUCAGAUGUGAAAACUCAGGGCUCAACCCUGAGCCUGCAUUUGAAACUGUGUUUCUU
rnacentral:rRNA from 1 species